GGGGCUGUCAUGGUUUCGACAGGAUUUCGUUUGAUUUAGAUUGCAGUGGUGUGGUUACCUUAAAACCAAACAAAAAUUAACUGGAAACAAUAACAGUUUACAAUUCGCUGCUUAAUUAGCUAUUCAUAGCUGUAGCGUGAUGAAUCUAAGCUUUGCCUUUGGGCGAAGAUCAUCAACAUAACCAACGAAGGAUAAGGUUGCGUGAGCUCGACACGUAACUCGAAAACCCAAGAGCACAUCAAAGAGACCUUUGUCGGCUUCGUCCUCUUUGAUUAUUAUGAAGCAGACUAAACUGUAGACGUCUAAAUGUGGAACACUUCUUGGACGCGGGUUCGACUCCCGCCAGCUCCACCA
rnacentral:tmRNA from 1 species